rnacentral:rRNA from 1 species
AUACGUAGGGGGCAAGCGUUAUCCGGAAUCACUGGGCGUAAAGGGUGCUAGGGGGGUGGCUUAUCAAGCCAGGGGUGAAAGGCAUUGGCUCAACCAAUGUAAGCCUUUGGAACUGAUAGGCUUGAGUGCAGGAGAGGUAAGUGGAAUUCCUAGUGUAGAGGUGAAAUUCGUAGAUAUUAGGAGGAACACCAGUGGCGAAGGCGACUUACUGGACUGUAACUGACACUGAGGCACGAAAGCGUGGGUAGC